AUAUUAUAUGUAAUUACUUGACUGUGUACUUGUGAGCAUCUGGUGUUGUCUGUGAAUACUUGACUUGACUGUAUUCUGUUUGUUGGUUGUUGUGUGUGAAUAGCUGUUCUGGUUGUAUUCUCUUUGUUGAAAAAGUUGUUCAUUUAAGCCGGUUCAUUGACUAUGGCUUCUAGCACAAGUACUGGUGCCUCCCUUUCCCUAGACUCUUCCAGUCCCCUUUUUGUAUAUUCUUCUGAUGUCCCUGGGGUAUCUCUCGCUCCCACUCCCUUUUCGGGUAGUGGUUAUGGGGGCUGGAGACGUAAAAUGAUUGUUGCCUUAUUCGCCAAAAACAAAAUCAGUUUUGUUGAUGGCACAUACUCCCGACCUACCACCAAUGUGGCUCAACAAAGGUUGUGGGAUAGGUGCAACAACAUGAUGAUCGACCUACCACCAAUGUGGCUCAACAAAGGUUGUGGGAUAGGUGCAACCACAUGGUGAUUUCUUGGUUGACUGCUUCUAUUUCCCCUGCAAUUGCUGAAUUUGUGCAGUACUCUGACACUGCACAAAGCAUAUGGUCCCAACUCCAGGCCAGAUAUGGCAUUGCAAACAGGACCAAAAUUUUUGAACUGAAAAGAGAGUUGUCUCACACCUCUCAAGGGUCCUUAGAUAUAGCUUCUUAUUUCN
rnacentral:lncRNA from 1 species